rnacentral:pre_miRNA from 7 species
UUGUAUGUGUAAGACCCCCUUUCAGGGACCCCCCCACUCUAGUCUCGGGAGAGAGAGAGCACACCCAAAGAAACACAAGAAUCC